rnacentral:rRNA from 1 species
AUUGAACGCUGGCGGCAGGCCUAACACAUGCAAGUCGAGCGAGCGGCGCACGGGUGAGUAAUGUAUGGGGACUGCCCUAUAGAGGGGGUUAACUACUGGAAACGGUGGCUAAUACCGCAUACCAUCAGAUAACCCAUAUGGGAUUGGAUUGUAGGUGAGGUAACGGCUCACCUAGGCGACGAUUCCUAGCUGGUCUGAGAGGGUGGUCAGCCAAACUGGGGCUGAGACACGGCCCAGACUCCUACGGAGGCAGCAGUUGGGAAUAUUGCGCAAUGGGGGCAAGCCUGGCGGCGCCGUGCCGCGUGAAGGAAGAAGGCCUGCGGGUUGAAAAGUUCUUUCGGUAGCGAGGCGUUACCUGCAGCAGAAGCACCGGCUAACUCCGUGCCAGCAGCCGCGGUAAUUC